GGGAGUUCCUAUCAAAGAUGGUACUAUAGAAAAGGAUUUCUGCAGGCUGCACAAGAAGCACGGCACCAGCAUCCACUUAUGAUGAGGAUAUCUGGCUGCUUUCACUUAUGGUAGAAGGGGAAGAGGAGCCAGCAUGUACACAAAUCCAUGGCAAGAGAGAAAGCAAGAGACAGAUAAAGUGAGAAAGACCAAGAGGAGGUGCCAGGCUCUUUUUAACAACCAGCUCUCACUCAUUACAGCAAGGACUGCACCAAGCCAUUCAUGUGGGAUCCACCCACGUGACCCAAACACCUCCCAUUAAGUUCCACCUCUAACACUG
rnacentral:lncRNA from 1 species